rnacentral:misc_RNA from 1 species
CAGAGUUGCAAGACUCCCUAAACCAUUGUGAACCUACCUUCUACCGUUGCUUCGGCGGGCGGGCCCAGCGCCCCCCCCGGCCCCCCGCGGGCGCCCGCCGGAGGAUACCCAAACUCUCGACAUUAGUGGCCUCUCUGAGUAUUCUUUACUGAAUAAGUCA